AGCGAACGCUGGCGGCAGGCCUAACACAUGCAGGUCGAACGAACUCUUCGGAGUUAGUGGCGGACGGGUGAGUAACACGUGGGAACGUGCCUUUUGGUUCGGAAUAACUCAGGGAAACUUGUGCUAAUACCGAAUGUGCCCUUCGGGGGAAAGAUUUAUCGCCAUUAGAGCGGCCCGCGUCUGAUUAGCUAGUUGGUGAGGUAACGGCUCACCAAGGCGACGAUCAGUAGCUGGUCUGAGAGGAUGACAAGCCACACUGGGACUGAGACACGGCCCAGACUCCUACGGGAGGCAGCAGUGGGGAAUCUUGCGCAAUGGGCGAAAGCCUGACGCAGCCAUGCCGCGUGAAUGAUGAAGGUCUUAGGAUUGUAAAAUUCUUUCACCGGGGACGAUAAUGACGGUACCCGGAGAAGAAGCCCCGGCUAACUUCGUG
rnacentral:rRNA from 1 species